rnacentral:lncRNA from 1 species
AGAUUUUCAUUUCGCAAAUUGUUUACCUUGAAUAUGAUAGGACAAACAGCAAUGGAAGCCAAGAAAGUGAAACCCCGAUGAAGAGGGCCAAGAAAUCCUUACGAAAAUGACAAGGACACGGUGAAGAAGGCGAGGAAAACAAAUGAAAUCAUAUUGGCUAACAAUAAGCAAAGCUAUUACCCGGAGCAAGUCAUUGGAAGCUUACAACACAGCCUGGGUGAAAGUUUGCAGUCCAUCCACAGGAAAAAGCUGCGGUGGCUAUUGAAGAAACUCCUCCUCC